rnacentral:rRNA from 1 species
UUCUUUAAGUUAUUACUUAAAGUACAACCUGCUCAAUGAACAAUUAUAUAGCCGCAGUUAACCUGUGCUAAGGUAGCAUAAUCAAUUGCUUCUUAAAUGGAAGAUAGAAUGAAAGGUUAAACAUAUAAAAAAUGUGUCUAAUAAACAAACCAACCUAAAAUAAAAGUAAAAAUGCUUUUAACUAAUGGCGGGACGACAAGACCCUAACAAACUUAAAAUUUAGUUGGGGAAACACUAUAAAAAAACUUUAUAAUAAUUCAACAUAAAUCUCUACAUAAAAACAUCCAGUUACUGUAGGGAUAACAGCGCCAUUUCUUUCUAGAGUUCUCAUCAAAAAAGAAGAAUUACGACCUCGAUGUUGAAUUAAUAA